GCCACCCCCUGCUCCACGGCGCCCAGUCCCAUCGACCACCCAAGGGCUGAGGAGUGCGGGCACACGGCACCGGGACUGGCAGGCACGUCCGCCUGCAGCCCCGUGCGGGAUCCACUGGGUGAAGCCUGCUGGGCUCCUGAGUCUGGUGGGGACGUGGAGAACCUUUAUGUUAACCUUUAUGUUAACAUGAACCUUUAUGACACUGACCUUGCCAACUGUGUGGGACCUGGUUGAGGCCUCUUGCCACCAGCUAUCUCCAACUUUCCUGGCCAACUAUAUAAUACAGUAGAGGCAACGAAAAUCCCCUCUAGAACAUAACCUCAUUGUCCUGAGAACCACCACCAUCCACCACAAUGGCUGCAGCAAGCCCCGCCCAAGAUAUUUUCUAAAGAUGGAAAGACACAUUCUGCCAUAUAGCUACUAUUUGCUUCCACAUCUGUUAUCUGCUCGUCUCCCCUCAACUCCGUAUCUCAAGAGACUGACCUGCUUGGAUUGCGUCAAGGGCUCUGGCUUAGGACAGACCUCAGCUAACUAUGGGACUUGGCAGGAGAUCCAGCAGCAGGAGGAAAGUGAGUUCUGUUUACCAAAUGUUGUUCAGCUGUGCCUAACAGAUUCAGUUGAUAUUGACUGAGUUUCCGGACUUCACUCUAGGCUAAAGUUUAGUUUAAGUCAACUUAAUUUCUUUCUGCAUUCUGAGAUCAAUAGCUACUUGGGCAUGCUCUUAUCAUGGUGGGAGAUGCGAUUGCAAGAGCUCAAACCGACCCACACAAGCAUAUCUGUAACCUCUAUUCAUACAGUAGUCACAAAGAGUAAAUCACAUACGUAAAGAUGGCAUCAUUUCAGUGAGAAAGUACCCUCUUCCAGUGGCAGGUGGGGAAGAAGGAAAUUUGCUGAAUAUUAAUACAUUCUACGACAUUUACUGGUUGUCACAUCUUCUAAGGGUUGAAGCCACAUACUCCUGCCAAACCAAAGGUCAAAAACUGUGAAGAAUCUGAUGUAUGUAAGCAAGUAACUUAGCCUGCUACAAUUUAACAGAAGCUAGAAGACUACACCAGACUCCUGGAUCAGAGGCAAAAGGCUUCAUUACUUACAACAUAGCAAGCAGAAUUAUCUUCAUGUUCUCAUAUGUUCCACAUCUGCUGCA
rnacentral:lncRNA from 1 species